rnacentral:rRNA from 1 species
GUCUUUGUAGUAAUACAAGGCAGACGGCUCAGUAACACGUAGUCAACCUACCCUAUGGACAAGAAUAAUCUCGGGAAACUGGGCAUAAUUCUUGAUAGAUCAUAAUGCCUGGAAUGGUUUAUGGUUAAAAUGAUUCGUCGCCAUAGGAUGGGACUGCGGCCUAUCAGCUUGUUGGUGAGGUAAUGGCCCACCAAGGCGAUUACAGGUACGGGCUCUGAGAGGAGAAGCCCGGAGAUGGGUACUGAGACACGGACCCAGGCCCUAUGGGGCGCAGCAGGCGAGAAAACUUUGCAAUGUGCGGAAGCACGACAAGGUUAAUCCGAGUGACUUCUGCUAAAGAAAUCUUUUGCCAGUCAUAAAACCACUGGUGAAU